CCUACGGGAGGCAGCAGUCGAGAAUCAUUCACAAUGGGGGAAACCCUGAUGGUGCGACGCCGCGUGGGGGAAUGAAGGUCUUCGGAUUGUAAACCCCUGUCAUGUGGGAGCAAAUUAAAAAGAUAGUACCACAAGAGGAAGAGACGGCUAACUCUGUUCCAGCAGCCGCGGUAAUACAGAGGUCUAAAGCGUUGUUCGGAACCACUUGGCGUAAAGGGUGCGUAGGCUGUUUCGUAAGUCGUGUGUGAAAGGCGCGGGCUCAACCCGCGGACGGCACAUGAUACUGCGAGACUAGAGUAAUGGAGGGGGAACCGGAAUGAUCGGUGUAGCAGUGAAAUGCGUAGAUAUCGAGAGGAACACUCGUGGCGAAGGCGGGUUCCUGGACAUUAACUGACGCUGAGGCACGAAGGCCAGGGGAGCGAAAGGGAUUAGAUACCCCAGUAGUC
rnacentral:rRNA from 1 species